GUGCUCGCUUUGGCAGCACAUAUACUAAAAUUGGAAAGAUAUAGAGAAGACUAGCACGGCCCCUGCACAGGAUGACAUGCAAAUUUGUGAAGCGUUCCAUUUUGUU
ensembl:snRNA U6 U6 spliceosomal RNA